UGGGUAGUUGGGUUCGAGCCCAGGAAACCGUAAGCCUCAAGGAAGUCAAGUUCCUUUUUCCGACAUGGUUUUGGUUUUCCGAGGAUGCCGUACGGCUUAAGCAAGUCAAGUCCAUCACAUACUUGAGUUGGAAUUGUAUGUUUCUCUUGCACCACUGGACUGGCCAUGACAAGGAAGACUAGGAUAUGUUCUAAUAAUAUAUUUCCUGUCCUAGCUAGAAACCUCUGCUCUCGGUUUCUAAUAAUUCUCGGUAACAGGAUCCAGCGACUCCUCUGAAAGUUAG